rnacentral:rRNA from 1 species
UACGAAGGGGGCGAGCGUUGUUCGGAAUCACUGGGCGUAAAGGGCGCGUAGGCGGCCCUUCUUGUCGCGUGUGAAAGCCCCGGGCUCAACCUGGGAAUUGCAUUCGAGACUGUGCCGCUAGGGUGCGGAAGAGGGAAGCGGAAUUUCCGGUGUAGCGGUGAAAUGCGUAGAUAUCAGGAGGAACACCGGUGGCGAAGGCGGGUCUCUGGGCCAAUACUGACGCUGAGGAGCGAAAGCGUGGGGAGCGAACAGG